AGUGAACGCUGGCGGUAGGCCUAACACAUGCCAGUCGAACGGCAGCACAGUAAGAGCUUGCUCUUACGGGUGGCGAGUGGCGGACGGGUGAGGAAUACAUCGGAAUCUACUUUUUCGUGGGGGAUAACGUAGGGAAGCUUACGCUAAUACCGCAUACGACCUACGGGUGAAAGCAGGGGAUCUUCGGACCUUGCGCGAUUGAAUGAGCCGAUGUCGGGUUAGCUAGUUGGCGGGGUAAAGGCCCACCAAGGCGACGAUCCGUAGCUGGUCUGAGAGGAUGAUCAGCCACACUGGAACGGAGACACGGUCCCGACUCCUACGGGAGGCAGCAGUGGGGAAUAUUGGACAAUGGGCGCAAGCCUGAUCCAGCCAUACCGCGUGGGUGAAGGAGGCCUUCGGGUUGUAAAGCCCUUUUGUUGGGAAAGAAAAGCAGCAGGUUAAUACCCCGCUGUUCUGACGGUACCCAAAGAAUAAGCACCGGCUAACUUCGUG
rnacentral:rRNA from 1 species